UACGUAGGGGGCAAGCGUUAUCCGGAUUUACUGGGUGUAAAGGGAGCGUAGACGGCAUAGCAAGUCUGAAGUGAAAGCCCGCGGCUCAACCGCGGAACUGCUUUGGAAACUGUUAAGCUGGAGUACUGGAGAGGCAAGCGGAAUUCCUAGUGUAGCGGUGAAAUGCGUAGAUAUUAGGAGGAACACCAGUGGCGAAGGCGGCUUGCUGGACAGAGACUGACGUUGAGGCUCGAAAGCGUGGGGAGCAAACAGG
rnacentral:rRNA from 1 species